GACAGAGGUGCCGAGCGUUAGGCGGAAUCACUGGGCUUAAAGCGUGUGUAGGCGGGCCGUUAAGUGUCUUGUGAAAUCCCCCGGCUCAACCGGGGAAUUGCUGGGCAUACUGGCGGUCUUGAGCGAUCUAGGGGCAGAUGGAACAAGUGGUGGAGCGGUGAAAUGCGUAGAUAUCCCUUGGAACGCCAAAGGUGAAGACAGUCUGCUGGGGAUCUGCUGAAGCUGAGACACGAAAGCCAGGGGAGCGAACGGG
rnacentral:rRNA from 1 species